CCUACGGGGGGCUGCAGUGAGGAAUAUUGGUCAAUGGACGAGAGUCUGAACCAGCCAAGUAGCGUGAAGGAUGACUGCCCUAUGGGUUGUAAACUUCUUUUAUAUGGGAAUAAAAUGUUCCACGUGUGGGAUUUUGUAUGUACCAUAUGAAUAAGGAUCGGCUAACUCCGUGCCAGCAGCCGCGGUAAUACGGAGUUUCCGAGCGUUAUCCGGAUUUAUUGGGUUUAAAGGGAGCGUAGGUGGAUUGUUAAGUCAGUUGUGAAAGUUUGCGGCUCAACCGUAAAAUUGCAGUUGAAACUGGCAGUCUGGAGUACAGUAGAGGUGGGCGGAAUUCGUGGUGUAGCGGUGAAAUGCUUAGAUAUCACGAAGAACUCCGAUUGCGAAGGCAGCUCACUGGACUGCAACUGACACUGAGGCUCGAAAGUGUGGGUAUCAAACAGGAUUAGAUACUCGAGUAGUC
rnacentral:rRNA from 1 species